AAAAAAGAAAGAGAGGAGAGGAGGAGGAGGGAAGAAAAAAAGAAAUAAAGGAGGAGGAGGAGGAGGGAAGAGAGGAGGAGGAGGAGGGGGAAGAGGGAAGGAAUUUUUUUCAUCUUUUUUAGGUAAAAAAUCUUUUUAAUCUCGUAGUUUAGUUAAGUAUAGUAUAGUAUAGUUUAGUUUAGUUUAGAUCUAAAUUUAGAAAUAUUAGUGGAUCUAAGAUUUAGAAAUAUUAGUAGAUCUAGAUUUAGGAAUAAUAGUGGAUCUAGAUUUAGACUUAGAAAUUUUUAGCUAUAUUUAGAUAUAGGAAAAUGUAGCUUAGUUAGUAUAAUUGAUUUAGCUUAUACAGUAUAAUAGAGUCAGCAUUAUUAGAUUUAUUUGGUAUGGUAAAUGCCUAUGAUAAAUAUAGUUAGUAAAUUCUGAUAUUUU
rnacentral:lncRNA from 1 species